rnacentral:lncRNA from 1 species
AUAUAAGCUGCAACUAUGUCUAGGGACUAGGAACAGAAAAAGAGAAAAACUUCCUCCUACUGGCCACCUGGAGACCAUCCACCUGGAAAUAUACCAGAUGGAGACUGGAUUGGGGAGCACAUUAAUAAUAUGAGCCAAGUAGUGGGCACAUAAUAAGUGAUCAAUUAAUGUUGACUAAAUAUAUGAAUGAAUAAAGAAAUGAGUGAACUAAAGAACAUCAAGUUCUCCCUCAGAUGAGAAAACCAAAAGCCAGAAAAUUAACCAACUGGCCCAAAGUCAUACAGACAGAUGGCAACAAAACUGGGAUUUAAAGUUGUCUGUCUCAUUUCAAAUCAUAUAAUUUUUUUAUUAUGCUAUUUCGCUCUCAGGGGAAGUUCAAAGGUGUUGUGCACCAACUGUUGCUAAUUCCUAGUCUCAUUAGGAGCAUUAUAAAUAAAUACUGUAAUUUUAGAUAGUAACAAAUUCUGUGAAGAAAAUGAAACAGAAUGCUGCCAUAAAGAGCUAUUGCAGGAGAGAGAUGAAAGACAUCAAAUAAGGCCAACUUCACUGAGGAAGUAACAUUUGAGCUAAAACAAGCAAAAGAAUUCAGAUAAAUAAAGAUCUAGGGGAACACAAAAGAAAAUAUUUUGAGGAAGGGCAGGCUCGCUCUGUUUCAGGACCAGCAAAAAGAUCACUCUCUGGGGACUAAAUGAAUAUGGAAGGGAUUGAUAAAGAUGAAGACACAUCUAACAGUGACCUGUAAACCAGGAGACAGUGAUUAGAUUUUAUACUGUAAUGAAAACCAUUAGAAGACUUUAAGCAAAGAAAUGUAAUAAUUUAAUUCACACUAAAAAGUGAAAACUAGUUUACAUUUUGUGUGAGGAACAGGCUGUAAGAGGACAACAGUGAAAGCAAAUAAAGCAGUAAGAAGAAAAUACAGAUGAGAGGUUAUUGAGGCCUAGAAGUAGGAUAGAUAGUUGUGGAAUUGGUAAGACAUAGUUGUAUUUGAAAAGCAUUUUCAAAAUAGAGCUGAUAAGAGUUGCUCAUGGAUUAGAUAUAAGGAAUAAGCUAGAAAGAGAAAUCAAGAUUUUUUUAAUAGAGUAAGAAUAUUAAAUUGAGUAAAUAAAUUAACUUGAGAAAAUUUAAUUCCAAUCAGUUUCAUGGGGAAGAUUGAGAAAGAGAUGGCAAUUUUGCAGGAGGUGGGAAAGGGAAUGAGGAGGUGGAAUUAUAUUUGGACAUGUUAAGUUUCAGAUGCUUAUUCAACAUUCUAAUGAAGACGCCAAGCAGGCAGUUGCAUAUAGGAGUUUGGAGUUCAGACUUUUUCAACACCCUUAAAAGUAUGUUCACCUAUUCUUCUCAUGUACCUUCAAGCCAAUGGACCAGAUAAAAGGUUGCAAGAAAUUGUUAGCUUAACACCCUUUUCGUUACCCCCGUACCAUUAGAGAAAUAGGGUGCCUCAUAUAGCACUAUGAAAAGCUUUUACAAAACUGUAGUUCAUGUCUCCACCCAGAUAAUGCCCAUAAAGUAAAAGCAUGGCUUUCGACACCAAUAAUUUCCUAUACCCGUAUAGGCCAGUCCAGAGCCAGUAAUUUUUUUAAAAAAGCCUAGUAUAUCUAUCUAUUGCCAACAGGUAGCCCCUUAAUGUAACAGACUUUUAGAUGUAUAUGUAACAGAUAUAGAUGGCUUUCACCCUUUAGUAUGCUAUUGUGAAGAGAAAGCUAGUUUAGACAUCAGAAGUGAAUCUGAAUCCUGUGUUCCUUCAAUAUAUCUGACAUUGGGUAGCUACUUUGGGUCUUAUUUGACUAAUCUAUAAAACAGAGACAUUAAUCGUACCUAUCUUAUAGGAUUACUAUUAGUAUUGAAUCACAUAAUCCAUGGAAACCCUUAACACGAUGCUCA